rnacentral:sRNA from 1 species
UUGCUGCUGCAGCAGAUGCUGCUGCUGCUGCUGCUGCUGCUGCUGUGCUGCUGCUGCUGCUGUGCUGCUGCUGCUGCUUUUGCUGCCAGCAACCGCCGCGCACUAACCAUAUGCAUGCAGCAGCAGCUAUUGCAGCAGCAGCAGCAGCAGCUGCUGCUGCUGCUGCAGCUGUUAACUCUGCAGCAGCAGCUGCUAAUGCAGCAGCACCAGCAACAGCAGCUGCUAAUGCAUUAGCGGCAGCAGCAGCAGCAGCUGCUGCUGCUCAUGCAGCAGCAGCAGCAGCAGCUGCUGCUAGUGCAGCAGCAGCAGCAGUUGCUGCUGCUAAUUUUA